GACGAACGCUGGCGGCGUGCUUAACACAUGCAAGUCGAACGGAAAGGCCCUGCUUUUGUGGGGUGCUCGAGUGGCGAACGGGUGAGUAACACGUGAGUAACCUGCCCUUGACUUUGGGAUAACUUCAGGAAACUGGGGCUAAUACCGGAUAGGAGCUCCUGCUGCAUGGUGGGGGUUGGAAAGUUUCGGCGGUUGGGGAUGGACUCGCGGCUUAUCAGCUUGUUGGUGGGGUAGUGGCUUACCAAGGCUUUGACGGGUAGCCGGCCUGAGAGGGUGACCGGCCACAUUGGGACUGAGAUACGGCCCAGACUCCUACGGGAGGCAGCAGUGGGGAAUAUUGCACAAUGGGCGGAAGCCUGAUGCAGCAACGCCGCGUGCGGGAUGGCGGCCUUCGGAUUGUAAACCGCUUUCGCCUGUGACGAAGCGUGAGUGACGGUAAUGGGUAAAGAAGCACCGGCUAACUACGUG
rnacentral:rRNA from 1 species